rnacentral:rRNA from 1 species
GUAAGGAAUAUUGGACAAUGGACGCAAGUCUGAUCCAGCCAUGCCGCGUGAAGGAUUAAGGUCCUCUGGAUUGUAAACUUCUUUUAUAAGGGACGAAAAAAGGCUUUUCUAAGUCGUCUGACGGUACCUUAUGAAUAAGCACCGGCUAACUCCGUGCCAGCAGCCGCGGUAAUACGGAGGGUGCAAGCGUUAUCCGGAUUCACUGGGUUUAAAGGGUGCGUAGGCGGGCAGGUAAGUCAGUGGUGAAAUCCUAGAGCUUAACUCUAGAACUGCCAUAGAUACUAUCUGUCUUGAAUAUUGUGGAGGUAAGCGGAAUAGGUCAUGUAGCGGUGAAAUGCUUAGAUAUGACAUAGAACACCUAUUGCGAAGGCAGCUUACUACGCAUAUAUUGACGCUGAGGCACGAAAGCGUGGGGAUCAAACAGGAUUAGAAACCCUGGUAGUCC